GCGCCCAUAGCUCAGUCGGUAGAGCAAAUGACUCUUAAUCAUUGGGUCCAAGGUUCGAGUCCUUGUGGGCGCACCA
rnacentral:tRNA from 2 species